rnacentral:misc_RNA from 1 species
UUUCCGUAGGUGAACCUGCGGAAGGAUCAUUACAGAGUUCAUGCCCUCACGGGUAGAUCUCCCACCCUUGAAUAUUUAUACCUUAGUUGCAUUGGCAGGCCGUGGAAACACCAUGGGCUCCGGCUUAUGCGUGCCUGCCAGAGGAAACAAACUCUGUUUUUAGUGAUGUCUGAGUACUAUAUAAUAGUUAAAACUUUCAACAACGGAUCUCUUGGUUCUG